UGCGCAGGCGGAAUAUUAAGUCAGUGGUGAAAGCCUACAGCUCAACUGUAGAACUACCAUUGAAACUGAUAUUCUUGAGUAUAGUUGUAGUAGGCGGAAUAUAUCAUGUAGCGGUGAAAUGCUUAGAUAUGAUAUAGAACACCGAUCGCGAAGGCAGCUUACUAAGCUAUAACUGACGCUCAGGCACGAAAGCGUGGGGAGCAAACAGGAUUAGAUACCCUGGUAGUCC
rnacentral:rRNA from 1 species